rnacentral:rRNA from 1 species
CACACUGCCGAGAAAAGCCUCUAGAUAGAAAAUAGGUGCCCGUACCGCAAACCGACACAGGUAGUCAAGAUGAGAAUUCUAAGGUGAGCGAGCGAACUCUCGUUAAGGAACUCGGCAAAAUGACCCCGUAACUUCGGGAGAAGGGGUGCUCUUUAGGGUUAACGCCCAGAAGAGCCGCAGUGAAUAGGCCCAAGCGACUGUUUAUCAAAAACACAGGUCUCUGCUAAACCGUAAGGUGAUGUAUAGGGGCUGACGCCUGCCCGGUGCUGGAAGGUUAAGAGGAGUGGUUAGCUUCUGCGAAGCUACGAAUCGAAGCCCCAGUAAACGGCGGCCGUAACUAUAACGGUCCUAAGGUAGCGAAAUUCCUUGUCGGGUAAGUUCCGACCCGCACGAAAGGCGUAACGAUUUGGGCACUGUCUCAACGAGAGACUCGGUGAAAUCAUAGUACCUGUGAAGAUGCAGGUUACCCGCGACAGGACGGAAAGACCCCGUGGAGCUUUACUGUAGCCUGAUAUUGAAAUUCGGCACAGCUUGUACAGGAUAGGUAGGAGCCUU